GUCUACAGCCAUGCCAUCCUGAACGUGCCUGAUCUUGUCUGAUCUAGGAAGCUAAGCAGGGUCAGGCCUAGUUAGAACUUGGAUAGGAGACCACCUUAGGAAGACCAGGUGCUGUAGGCA
rnacentral:rRNA from 1 species